GUGGGGAAUAUUGCACAAUGGGCGCAAGCCUGAUCCAGCAAUGCCGCGUGCAGGAAGAAGGCCUUCGGGUUGUAAACUGCUUUUGUACGGAACGAAACGGUCCUGGUUAAUACCCGGGGCUAAUGACGGUACCGUAAGAAUAAGCACCGGCUAACUACGUGCCAGCAGCCGCGGUAAUACGUAGGGUGCAAGCGUUAAUCGGAAUUACUGGGCGUAAAGCGUGCGCAGGCGGUGCUGUAAGACAGGCGUGAAAUCCCCGGGCUUAACCUGGGAAUUGCGCUUGUGACUGCAGUGCUGGAGUGCGGCAGAGGGGGAUGGAAUUCCGCGUGUAGCAGUGAAAUGCGUAGAUAUGCGGAGGAACACCGAUGGCGAAGGCAAUCCCCUGGGCCUGCACUGACGCUCAUGCACGAAAGCGUGGGGAGCAAACAGGAUUAGAUACCCCUGUAGUCC
rnacentral:rRNA from 1 species